rnacentral:rRNA from 1 species
UAGGGAAUCUUCCGCAAUGGGCGAAAGCUUGACGGAGCAACGCCGCGUGAGUGAUGAAGGUCUUCGGAUCGUAAAACUCUGUUAUUAGGGAAGAACAAAUGUGUAAGUAACUAUGCACGUCUUGACGGUACCUAAUCAGAACGCCACGGCUAACUACGUGCCAGCAGCCGCGGUAAUACGUAGGUGGCAAGCGUUAUCCGGAAUUAUUGGGCGUAAAGCGCGCGUAGGCGGUGUUUUAAGUCUGAUGUGAAAGCCCACGGCUCAACCGUGGAGGGUCAUUGGAAACUGGAAAACUUGAGUGCAGAAGAGGAAAGUGGAAUUCCAUGUGUAGCGGUGAAAUGCGCAGAGAUAUGGAGGAACACCAGUGGCGAAGGCGACUUUCUGGUCUGUAACUGACGCUGAUGUACGAAAGCGUGGGGAUCAAACAGG